AGAACGAUAAAUCUGUCUUAAUCAAGUUGACCCGCCGAGUAAGAGAUAAAACAGACAAAUAAUAACCAAAUGAAUCAAAACCAACAGCUGUGGUGAUUUUAUUCGAAUUUCUUCGUUUGUUUGGCCGAUAAUUUUUCGGACGUUUCUCCAUUUUCCGGGUUUGCGGAAAUUUUAAUAUCCGAAUUACUAAAUCGGCUGGAGACUGGCCGUAAGAACCGAAUUUUUCGUGACGUGGACUGCGAUUUUGGUACGGUGAUGUUUCGCCUCGGUCCUCCAAUUUCAAUUCUAAUUAUUUUCUACCACAUUCGAUUUUUAGUCCACCAAAAAUAUAGGAAAGAGUCGAAUCUAAACCUUCCAAUCCGCUGUCGUUACUGUAGACCGAGAGUAAAUUUCAAACUCUUUCCUAUAUUUUUCGCGGACUUUUACUUUUCCGAACAGAGGUAUGGCGCACCGAUGUCGUUCCAACUUAACCAUCGCC
rnacentral:lncRNA from 1 species